rnacentral:rRNA from 1 species
GUCCACCUGUGCACACUCUGUAGGUCUGGAUACCCCAUUGGAAGGGUGCGCUUCGCGCUCCCUUUGCCUUUCCAGGCCUAUGUCUUAUAAACACUAUAGUAUGUAACGAAUGUCAUUGAUUAUUGGACUUCACUGUCCUUUAAACUAAAUACAACUUUCAACAACGGAUCUCUUGGCUCUCGCAUCGAUGAAGAACGCAGCGAAAUGCGAUAACUAAUGUGAAUUGCAGAAUUCAGUGAAUCAUCGAGUCUUUGAACGCACCUUGCGCCCUUUGGUACUCCGAAGGGCAUGCCUGUUUGAGUGUCAGUAACUUCUCAACCUCCCUCACUUUGUUGUGAGCUGGCGGAUUGGACGUGGGGGCUUGCUGGACCUACCUUUUUGGGUUCAGCUCCCCUGAAAUGCAUUAGCAGAAACCGUUACCUUUUGGCGCGCUGCAGCUGUGAUAAUUAUCUACGGCUAUGGCUGGGCUGACUGUGUUGUGUAGCGCUCGUUUCGUCUCUGAAGUGGUUUCGCCUUAGUUGGUGCUUCCCUUUGCCUUCUCUCUCACGAGAGAUACCUGUGACGCGAGUGCGCGGGCUAUUCAGCUUCUAACCGUCCCCC